rnacentral:rRNA from 1 species
UGGGGAAUAUUGGACAAUGGGGGAAACCCUGAUCCAGCAAUGCCGCGUGAGUGAAGAAGGCCUUCGGGUUGUAAAGCUCUUUUAUUAACGACGAUAAUGACGGUAGUUAAUGAAUAAGCCCCGGCUAACUUCGUGCCAGCAGCCGCGGUAAUACGAAGGGGGCUAGCGUUGUUCGGAAUUACUGGGCGUAAAGGGCGCGUAGGCGGCCAGAUACGUCAGAUGUGAAAGUCCCGAGCUUAACUUGGGGAUUGCAUUUGAUACGGUUUGGCUAGAGAACGAGAGGGGAUAGUGGAAUUGUGCGUGUAGAGGUGAAAUUCGUAGAUAUGCACAAGAACACCGAUGGCGAAGGCAGCUAUCUGGCUCGUUACUGACGCUAAGGCGCGAAAGCGUGGGGAGCAAA